rfam:Jatropha curcas cultivar GZQX0401 scaffold601_58, whole genome shotgun sequence.
UAGCCGUGAUUAGGGCAUUGCCUAUGAAUGUCUCCAUACCUCUCCCAAGCUUCAAAAAGACUCUCAUCCGACUUUUGCUUGAAAGUAGCAAUCUCUAUCUCGAGUUU